rnacentral:rRNA from 1 species
UACAUAUCAAUAAGCGGAGGAAAAGAAACCAACAGGGAUUGCCCUAGUAACGGCGAGUGAAGCGGCAACAGCUCAAAUUUGAAAUCUGGCGUCUUCGGCGUCCGAGUUGUAAUUUGCAGAGGGCGCUUUGGCAUUGGCAGCGGUCCAAGUUCCUUGGAACAGGACGUCACAGAGGGUGAGAAUCCCGUACGUGGUCGCUAGCCUCUACCGUGUAAAGCCCCUUCGACGAGUCGAGUUGUUUGGGAAUGCAGCUCUAAAUGGGAGGUAAAUUUCUUCUAAAGCUAAAUACUGGCCAGAGACCGAUAGCGCACAAGUAGAGUGAUCGAAAGAUGAAAAGCACUUUGGAAAGAGAGUUAAAAAGCACGUGAAAUUGUUGAAAGGGAAGCGCUUGCAGCCAGACUUGCCUGUAGUUGCUCAUCCGGGUUUCUACCCGGUGCACUCUUCUACGGGCAGGCCAGCAUCAGUUUGGGCGGUUGGAUAAAGGUCUCUGUCAUGUACCUCCUUUCGGGGAGGCCUUAUAGGGGAGACGACAUGCAACCAGCCUGGACUGAGGUCCGCGCAUCUGCUAGGAUGCUGGCGUAAUGGCUGUAAGCGGCCCGUCUUGAAACACGGACCAAGGAGUCUAACAUCUAUGCGAGUGUUUGGGUGUCAAGCCCGAACGCGUAAUGAAAGUGAACGGAGGUGGGAACCUUUCGGGGUGCACCAUCGACCGAUCCUGAUGUCUUCGGAUGGAUUUGAGUAAGAGCAUAGCUGUUGGGACCCGAAAGAUGGUGAACUAUGCUUGAAUAGGGUGAAGCCAGAGGAAACUCUGGUGGAGGCUCGCAGCGGUUCUGACGUGCAAAUCGAUCGUCAAAUUUGGGCAUAGGGGCGAAAGACUAAUCGAA